AGUGAACGCUGGCGGUAGGCCUAACACAUGCAAGUCGAACGGUAGCACAGUAAGAGCUUGCUCUUACGGGUGGCGAGUGGCGGACGGGUGAGGAAUACAUCGGAAUCUACUUUUUCGUGGGGGAUAACGUAGGGAAACUUACGCUAAUACCGCAUACGACCUACGGGUGAAAGCAGGGGAUCUUCGGACCUUGCGCGAUUGAAUGAGCCGAUGUCGGAUUAGCUAGUUGGCGGGGUAAAGGCCCACCAAGGCGACGAUCCGUAGCUGGUCUGAGAGGAUGAUCAGCCACACUGGAACUGAGACACGGUCCAGACUCCUACGGGAGGCAGCAGUGGGGAAUAUUGGACAAUGGGCGCAAGCCUGAUCCAGCCAUGCCGCGUGGGUGAAGAAGGCCUUCGGGUUGUAAAGCCCUUUUGUUGGGAAAGAAAAGCAGCAGGUUAAUACCCCGCUGUUCUGACGGUACCCAAAGAAUAAGCACCGGCUAACUUCGUG
rnacentral:rRNA from 1 species